UAUAUAUAUAUAUAUGUAUAUAUAUAUAUAUAUAUAAUUAAUUAAAAAAAAUCCGUGUAUGUGUACGUGUUGCAUCAAAGAUGAAUUAAUUAAUUUCUGUUUACGCGUGUACGUUUUUUUGUAUUAAUGUCGAGAAUGAUAUUCGAUGAGACGCAACGAACAAUUCAUUUAAUUUAUUUCGAAACUUGAAAAUAUCGUGGAUCACUUUGUCGAGACAUAUUUGCACUCUGUUUAAUUAUUAUUGCAUCCCAAAAAAAUUAUGACAGUUCAAAAAAAAAAUAUAUAUAUAUAUACAUA